UUUUGUUGGAGAGUUUGAUCCUGGCUCAGGACGAACGCUGGCGGCGUGCUUAACACAUGCAAGUCGAGCGGAAAGGCCCUUCGGGGUACUCGAGCGGCGAACGGGUGAGUAACACGUGAGCAACCUGCCCUAGGCUUUGGGAUAACCCUCGGAAACGGGGGCUAAUACCGAAUAUUA
rnacentral:rRNA from 1 species